rnacentral:telomerase_RNA from 1 species
GCGGUUUUUGAGGAUGUCCUUUGUCCGUAUCAGAAUGCCCUCCGUCACCAUGUGUAUGGAAGCGGAGCCGACACAAAGACUAGUC